UGGGGUCAUCUGCAUCCUGUCAGCUCCAGGCUGUCCUGGGCUGCCUCUCCUCACCUCCACACUGAACAUCUGAAUCUGAAUGUGAACUCCUUGACCUGUGCAGUUCACUGGUGGGGAAGUUAAGGGAUUGAGCACAGUCAGAGCAUUGUGAAGGAAAUAAAUAGCAGAUGGAGAACCUUCCAGAAUCUGUGUUUCCUGUGCGAGUGUCAGGUGGGACAGGAGUUCUCUAUGGGAUCUUGUGUGACAAUGGGGUGGAGAGAGUCCUUUUGGGAAGCUAUGAAAGUAAGACCUGGAGUUUCCUAGAGAAUCCAAGAUAUGGGAGAAGCCAAUCUUCAUGAUUUGAGCAGGAAAAUCGCUAGCAGGUGUCAAUCGGCCUGGACAGAGAAGUGUGUUGCAUACAACACAGCUGACAGGACUUGGAGAUCUGAAGAGAGCUUAGGCGUCAGACAUGGGGAUGUAGUUUACAGUUUGUCCAGCUGGAGUUUAGUCUGUGAUCUAACACUGCCUCACUUUGCUGCUUUUCCUUCCUUCUGAAACAAAAAUGUACCCCCUGGGCCAUUGUGUGGUAGAAGUACAGCACGUGCACCUUGAUUUUCUUUCUAAAAAGGUUGUAUUAGGAGAUUGUCUUGAGUCACAGAAGAGACUAUGAAUUCUGAACUUUUAAGGUGUUGGAGACUGACAGAUUAUGGGGACUUUCGAAGCUGAAUUGAAUGUGUUUGACAUUAUGAUAGGCCUACAUACUUUGGACCAGGUAUGUUAGUUUGAAUGAAAAUGGCCCCCAUUGGCCUAUAGACUUGAAGGCUUGGUCAUUAGGGAGUGGCACUAUUUAAAGGGAUUAGGAGGUGUGUCACUGGGGUGGUCUUAAAAGUUUCCAAAUCCAGAGCUAGUCCCAGAGGCUCUCUUCCUGCUGCCUGAGGAACCAGAUGUAGAGUCCCCAGCUCCAUCUU
rnacentral:lncRNA from 1 species